rnacentral:rRNA from 1 species
GAUGAACGCUGGCGGCGUGCUUAACACAUGCAAGUCGAACGGUGAAGCAGGAGCUUGCUCUUGUGGAUCAGUGGCGAACGGGUGAGUAACACGUGAGCAACCUGCCCCUGACUCUGGGAUAAGCGCUGGAAACGGCGCCUAAUACUGGAUAUGUGAUGUGACCGCAUGGUCUACAUCUGGAAAGAAUUUCGGUUGGGGAUGGGCUCGCGGCCUAUCAGCUUGUUGGUGAGGUAAUGGCUCACCAAGGCGUCGACGGGUAGCCGGCCUGAGAGGGUGACCGGCCACACUGGGACUGAGACACGGCCCAGACUCCUACGGGAGGCAGCAGUGGGGAAUAUUGCACAAUGGGCGGAAGCCUGAUGCAGCAACGCCGCGUGAGGGAUGACGGCCUUCGGGUUGUAAACCUCUUUUAGCAGGGAAGAAGCGAAAGUGACGGUACCUGCAGAAAAAGCACCGGCUAACUACGUGCCAGCAGCCGCGGUAA